rnacentral:tRNA from 1 species
GUCCGUAUAGCUCAGUAGGAUAGAGCACAAGCCUCCUAAGCUUGGGGUGGCAGGUUCGAUUCCUGUUGCGGACGCCA